ACAAAGGAGGUUUCUUUGAAAUCUCAGGGUUGGCCUCCAACCGCAGGAGAGAAUAGCCACACGGAAAUGCUUUGUUUCUCAACCUCACUAAGAAGGAAAAAAAGGAGCAAAAUGUAGGGUGUGGCGAAAGUAAGAUUAUAUUCUCUUUGUUCCACUGGGCUAUCUCGGUCAAGGAGGGACAAGUUGGACAAACUGAAAUCAGUGUACAGCAAGUGGGGACGACAGGCAAGAAGCGCGCUCGCAAGGCCCCCCAUUCCGGGAGAGGAAAGCUCCACUUUCCAGAAAGCGCCCUUCAUCGUCUCGCUGAUGAGAUUCUGUAUCUGCACACGGAACAUCGUCACGCCGCCUCGAUUUCCCAGUUCUCUGCCCCUCAGCCCUGGAGCAGCCCUUCUGAGUCGGUGUGUACGAAUAUAACCACGCCCACUUGCCUGCAAACAUUCCAUCAGGCGGGAAGGAGGGUGGCUGCAUCCGGGUACGCUGGAAAAAACGGCUAGCUCAUCCACCCUGGACCCUGCCACCUUUUCCUCUUUUCUGCCAUAAGUCACUAUUUGUUCCGGAUUGAGCAAGUGGCCUGGCUGAGGCUGGGAUAAAAUGUUCUGCUUCAGAACCCAGGCCCUGGAAUACAAAUUCCGGGGUUGGAAUCCCAGGUCUGCCACUUGGUGGCUGUGUGACUGUGAGCAAAUUACUUAAACCCUCUGUGCCUUGGUUUUCUCAUACAAAAAAUGCACAAUAGUAAUAACCUCCCAUAGUUGUUAUGAGAAUAAAAUGAAUAUUUAAUAUACUAUACAU
ensembl:lncRNA